rnacentral:rRNA from 1 species
GACGAACCGUGCGAACGUUAUUCGGAAUCACUGGGCUUAAAGCGCGUGUAGGCGGAUGGGAACGUCGGUCGCUGAAAUCCCCCGGCUCAACCGGGGAACGGGCGCCGAAACGACCCGUCUGGAGGGACGUAGGGGGACCUGGAACUUCCGGUGGAGCGGUGAAAUGCGUUGAGAUCGGAAGGAACGCCCGUGGCGAAAGCGGCUUACUGGGUCUCUUCUGACGCUGAGAAACGGAAAGCUAGGGGAGCGAAGGGG